rnacentral:lncRNA from 1 species
GAAAAUUUAGGUGAGAGCUUUUCUCUCUAGGGUUUGGGCGCCCACUCCUUUUUUUAGACAAAUCAUAAUUUAGUUUUUUUUUUCAAUUGAGAAGGUUGUGGUAAUUUCGUCGAUCGCUUUUUUUGUCAUUUAUUUUUCUAUUUUUCGACAGACUCCUCUUUCGGUGCAAAGAUUAUUAGGGUUUUGAAAGCAAAAGUCCGUUAAGAUUUUUUUUUUGAAGCAAAAAAAGGUUGGAGUUGUUGCUUCCUUCUCUCUGCGACAAAUCGGAGAUGA